rnacentral:rRNA from 1 species
GACGAACGCUGGCGGCGUGCUUAACACAUGCAAGUCGAACGGAAAGGCCCUGCUUUUGUGGGGUGCUCGAGUGGCGAACGGGUGAGUAACACGUGAGUAACCUGCCCUUGACUUUGGGAUAACUUCAGGCAACUGGGGCUAAUACCGGCUAGGAGCUCCUGCUGCAUGGUGGGGGCUGGAAAGUUUCGGCGGUUGGGGAUGGACUCGCGGCUUAUCAGCUUGUUGGUGGGGUAGUGGCUUACCAAGGCUUUGACGGGUAGCCGGCCUGAGAGGGUGACCGGCCACAUUGGGACUGAGAUACGGCCCAGACUCCUACGGGAGGCAGCAGUGGGGAAUAUUGCACAAUGGGCGGAAGCCUGAUGCAGCAACGCCGCGUGCGGGAUGACGGCCUUCGGGUUGUAAACCGCUUUCGCCUGUGACGAAGCGUGAGUGACGGUAAUGGGUAAAGAAGCACCGGCUAACUACGUG